rnacentral:rRNA from 1 species
UACAGAGGGUGCAAGCGUUGUUCGGAAUUAUUGGGCGUAAAGCGCGUGUAGGCGGCUUUGCAAGUCGGAUGUGAAAGCCCUCGGCUCAACUGAGGAAGUGCAUCCGAAACUGAGGGGCUGGAGUAUGGAAGAGGGUCGCGGAAUUCCCGGUGUAGAGGUGAAAUUCGUAGAUAUCGGGAGGAACACCGGUGGCGAAGGCGGCGACCUGGGCCAAUACUGACACUGAGGUGCGAAAGCGUGGGGAGCAAACAGG